rnacentral:rRNA from 1 species
UACAGAGGUGGCAAGCGUUGUUCGGAAUUACUGGGCGUAAAGGGCGCGUAGGCGGUCAGGUCAGUCCCGUGUGAAAUCCCUCGGCUCAACUGAGGAACUGCACGGGAAACUGCCUGGCUUGAGUUCGGGAGAGGGAAGCGGAAUUCCGGGUGUAGCGGUGAAAUGCGUAGAUAUCAGGAGGAACACCAAUUGCGAAGGCAGCUCGCUGGGACGUUACUGACGCUGAGACGCGAAAGCGUGGGGAGCAAACAGG